CCCUUCCUCCCUUCCUUCCUCCCUUCCUCCCUUCCUUCCUCCCUUCCUCCCUUCCUUCCGCCCGCGCCGUCGCCGCGCUCACCGCCCCGGCGCCGGAACCGCCGCCUGUGUCAUCACCCUCAGCCCGCUGCGCCUCGGGAACUGUGAACCCCAGAUUGGAUUGUUUCAACACACAGACUAAAGGGACUCGCUCACGGGACCUCCCUGGGGCCCAGCAUGGAAGAUCCGUCUGAAACGGGAGCGAGUUUCCUGUGAGCAUCUCAGGUGGUGUGGCCUUGCGAGUAAAGAAAAUAAAAACAGUCCAGACAGAUGGAGAAUUCAAGAGGUGCAGCGCUAGCCCAGGAGAAGUGCAUAGAGUUGCAGCAGAAGGUAAAUUUACAUUACUGCUCACACUCAAACCCCUCCAGUCUGAAAGCUCCUUUGGGAUCAGCUUCUGCCUGUUUGGUGCAGUAAGGCAGGUGAUUUGCUCUUGGCUGUCCUUAUCCGUGAUCAAUGUCAUUGGAAACACACAGACAUAUCCCACUCAGGUGCCUUGAGAAUCGUUUGUGCUCCCUCUCAGAUACUGGUGGUGCGUGUUCUAUCAGCUGCUCUUAGAACAUCAUGCCAGCUUUGACCACUUCCUCACAGGGAGAACUGUGAAAGGAAAAACAGUAUAAAACGGAAAAACACCAUGGCAAAUAGAGGCAAACGGCAUCUGGACAAGAUUCUGGAUUCUUGCUCAUUCUCUUCAAGUGUGGUCACAGGCUAAGGCAGAAUGUGGAAAUAUUUCACCUUGCCUUUGGAUUUCACUUACGGGGACAAGAUGCUUCACAUUUCAUUUGUGGAACCUCAGAAUUUGUGAUUGCAGCAUAAUGUGCAGAAGUGGACUGUCCUUUUAUGUCAGCAAGUAAACGACAGUGCCAAAUUUUAAAAUGUCUUGUCCUGCCUGCUCCAGUAACGAGGACGUAAAAAUGGUUCUACAAACUUUUCUGCUCCUGCUGAGGUACCACCUGAGGCCCUGACUCUCAGCUAAAGAAAUUGCAAAGACAGCAGGGGAUAUUUGAGGUGGAAAAUGCUAUUCUUGCUCCAGGACUUCAUUUAAAACUACUAUAUUUUCAUUUUUCAAAGUUGUGAGGGCUUUAUCUUAAGAAAUUGUUUGCUCAGGAAUAGAGGAAAGGCUGAGAAAAGAAUCACUCCCUUUAUGUCCUUAAUGCUUGAACAUUUACAAGUUGUCUUAAAGAGAUGAACUAGGAUCUUCCCAAGAAAGAAACCAACAAAAACACCCCAAGGCCAUAACAGAAAAACCAGCACAAGAGAACAAUUAUAGUAGUAACACAGUCUGUUUCUAUGGAGAUGGACAUGAAGGAGAAAAUAUUUACCAGCUUGGCAGUUUUUAUGCCAGAAUGGGAAACCCCUACGUUUACAAUGAAAUAAAAUGGAAAAUAAGGCAAGUAAGAGUGUCAGCACUGCCAGGUGAUGCAGUAACAUUGUGGGGGGACCUGCAGAAUGGCAGAAAUUUUCCACAAGUCCUACAGUGCCUCUAGACAUACAGGAUUUUUUUAAACUGCUGAAGUGUUUCAAGUUGAGAGCAAAACAUGUGACUCCCAGAAUCACUGAUUUUACAUAUGCUUUGUUUCUGAUUUUAGCACAUACACCUGCUUACACUUAGCAAAGAAGUUAGUAGACAUUUUUUUUUUUUUAAUUGAAGGUUACGGAUCAAUGGCCCAAAGAAAUGCAAAACAAAAAGAUGCUCCAAACAUUUCCUGCUAUUCCUCAAAAGUUUGCAUUAUUUCUUUUAUUGCUAAAGCACAUCAAACUUAGGAAAGGAAUAAUAACAAUUUCUUGCCAAACAGAAGCUUUCAACUUAGGCUCUUGACUGUACCACAUUAAAUGGCUCUUCUCUCCUGCCAAAGGCCAUCAGGUAUCAUAGCAGAGCAGCACAGCAAUUGGAAACUGAGUGCCAAAGAGUUUCUAGGGCACAAGUGAAUGCACUGGAUUCCAAAGGUCUCUGGGAGUUAUGUAAGAGGAAGAACAUAGAUCUCCACCAAUAGUCCUACCAUGGACCAAACAUCAAUCACAGCACCGCAACAAUUUCAGUUCCAGAGACAAUUAUUAAAGACAUUAUAAGAAAUACUGAAGAAAAAUCUCUUCCUGAGAAGGACUUCCUGAAUAGAGCAAUGGUGCACCUCGGGUAUUUCUUUCCGGCAUCUAUUUACUAUUUAGAUACAAAAUUUAGACAUGCCCAUACCAAGAUAUAGCACUGAUUUUUGUUGAGGGACCUUAGAAAUGGAUAAUAGAUGAAGCCCAUACUCAGCUGUCUUAUGGAUUACCUACUUGAACUGGCAGAGCAAAAAGUCACAGGGACAUGGAAAGUAGAGACAAGUUAUGAGAAGCCUCAGAACUGUUACCCUCACAAAGCACUGAAGGCUGUGUAUUUGUAUAUAUUCAGGAAAUCGAAUGCUUAAUAGGCCAAGCAAAGCUGUUCUUGUUCCUGCUGCCAAAGAAUGAUGCUGACAAAUGGUCAUUAAUAAGGGAAACAGCUACAUCACUACACUGUGGACUUGGGAGACAAAGGGGUAGGGAUGCCAGAAUGGCCUAGGGAUCAAGUGUACAGGAUCAGCAAGAACAGUCAUUCUUGUGGAUUCAAAAAUCCUUCUCUGAAGGAUCAAGAGCUCACUAACACUGCAGGUUAACAUCUGGCUGAUGCCAGAGGAUGAACAGGUGAGUACCAGAACUCACUGAGGACAUGCUCACGAGACACACCUGACACGGAAUGCCAUUGGCUGCACCUGGGCAAGUCUCUGCCUGAAACCCCUUCUGUCUUUGUGUUUGGUUUGUAUCGAUGAGUCCAUCUCUGCUCAAACAAAAGCCGUGUAUCUGACAUGUUUGACCCCUUCUGCACAGGAGCCAGACAUCAGCGAUAAGAAUGGCAAACAUCCUGCACCAGAGCAGGAAAAUAAAGUGAUGGCUGAUACCUCUCCAUGUGUCCAGAGCUACAGACAUUUAUUUAGAAAUAUACUGAUCA